rnacentral:lncRNA from 1 species
AAAAAAAUCCUACAUCUACAGGUGAGAAGCAGGACAAACUCUGGGGUGUGCUUUACUUUCUCAAAUCAUUCCUGUGGCAUGAGACUAUGGUGUGACUUUGAAUUUGUACCCCACCCUGGCUUUCUCCACUUUUCACUUUGGGAGAGCAAUUCCAGAAGUCAUGGGCAGUUUUAACGUGAUGAUCAGCCAGCAUAGCAAGAUUGCUCAUGCUGUAACCAUCUAAAUGACAAAACAGAGUGGGACAAAUGCCAAGAAAACGAAAUCUAGUGACCCUUGCCAUAACUUACUUCU